AAGUGAAAGCAAAUGUUCAGAGUUGAGCUAAAGCACGAUUUUACGUGCAGCAAGAAAGGCGGUGGAUUUUGUGAAUCUGUGUGUAAAUAAGAGUCAGUGCUGGAGAUCAGAUUCUGCUUCAUCAUGGAUGACACACAAACAUCCACAGAUGAAGAUUGUUCUCCAGGAUGCAGUUCAGUUCAGCAGAAGAGAUCAGAAGCAGAGCCCAGCUGUGUGUCUAUGAGGAGUGACGCGUCUAUGGGUCGUAUAAUAGAGUUUAAGAGUGGAGAUACACAGACUGAUC